CCAAUGCCUCAGGGUGCAGCGCUGUGCCUGUCUCCUAUACGGAGCUUGGAUGGGCACUACCAUGGGGAGAUCAUCUUUACUGCAGCCAGAGCACUCCAGUAAAGAAGAGUGAAGGACAGAACUUGUUAGCGCUAUUUCACGUGCUGGAGCCUCCCUUCCCCCCAAGUCUGUAAACUCAAGAUGGGAGACUAAUGGAAAACAUCUUUCUUGGCACGUCGUUCCUCAGAAAUGCGUGGGCGUGAGCGCCAUCUAGCUGUGCUCCGGGUGAUUCUGUGAAUGCCCGGCUUAGAAUGGCCGAACAGGAUCGGGGAAGUGUCCUUUGAUCUGUCAGGAGAAGCUGCAAGCCUGUGGUGUGAGAGCCACUCACAAGGACUGUAUCCGCAGACACCCACUGAAAAGCCAGGGCUCCCUAGGAAGGGAUGGGUGUCCUCGAAAUGUAAAGAGAUGGAAGUCUGCAUGCGAGGGGACAGUUUAAGAUUGAAACACUACUCCAGGGAGCACAAAGCCAACGCCGGGUGUCUUGUGAAGCAGCAGGCAGGUGAUUCUCAAGGGCGAUCAUUAAGGAAGGCCCCUGACCAUGUGGAAGAAGGGUGGAGAGAAAGAUGAGCCUCCAGGAUGACCCGGCUCACCGGCUACCUAGUAACAGAGGAAUGGCGGGAACAAACCCCAGGAUGAGAUCAUCAAAAACCAAAGAGAGAAGAGGCAGAUGGAGAGAAGACUGGUUCCGCGGAGGUGGCGCUGAAUGUCUCAGUUUCUAACCCCCUCUGCCUCCCAUUCCGCCAAGGGUGGAAGAGCAGAGGCUCACAGGUAGGGAGGGGUCAAACUGCCGAGACGGUCAUCACCAGGACCCUUCAGAGCUGGCUCGAUGAGGAGCCAUGAGGAGCCGGCACCGCUGCGAUGCUGGGUUCAUGUUUCACUUGGCUACAUUUGCUGUCUCUCCCACACAGGCAAAACAGGCUCUCUCUCUCUCUCUCCUCUGCCUGUGGAAAUCUACCUGGGAGCUCUGCAGGUCUAAUAGUUGGGCAGCUCCCCCUUUAUCAGAAGCCUUUGGUCACUGCUAGAAAUCGGUCCUAAGUGGGGGAGGGGGUGGCUGCCAAGCCAGAUGAUGUGUGUGGCUCAUACCCAGGCCGCCUUGCUGUUACAGCCCAGAUGGAUACACCGGAGCUGGAGUCCAGGGGCAGUAGCCCCCCCAAAAUGGGAUCCUGCUCUUGAUUCCUCCAUGAAAGGGUUAAUACAAUGCUCAAAUUUCCAAGGGAAUGUGUGCCUCCAAAAUCUCUAAUGUCUCUAAAGAGAGCAUGACCAAUGGAUUUGCAAAUAGUAGGUGCUUAAUAAAUGCUUUAUCACUCAUUUUGAAAAGAGGAA